GCCCUGUGUAUUUCUUGCAUACUUUUAGUUAGAUCUAAGGCUUGAUCAGACUCAGGGCUGAUGUCUUGACAAGAAUACUUGAAAGAUUGUGUUGUACAUUUCCAACAAGGCCACAUAGUUCUGGCUGGCUCUUUGUGAAGUUAGCAGCCAUUCGUGAUUGUGUUGUUGUGGAUCCACUCAAGAAACAGAAGCCAUUCGUUAAUUCAAAUACUGGAAGUUUCAUAAAAAGAACGAUUAAGAUAAGUGAUACGAUUUAGCUGUGUCCCCACCCAAAAUCUCAUCUUGAAUUGUAAUCCCCAUAAUCUCCACGUGUCAAGGCAGUGACCAAGUGGAGGUAAUUGGAUCAUGGGGGUGGUUUCCCCCAUACUGUUCUUGUGAUAGUGAGUGAGUUAUCUUGAGAUCUGAUGGUUUUAUAAGCGUCUGGCAUCUCCCCUGCUUGCACUCACUCUGUACUGUCACCCCAUGAAGAAGGUGCCUGCUUCUCUUUUGCCUUCCACUGUGAUUGUAAUAAUCCUGAGGCCUCCCCAGCAAUGCGGAACUGUGAGUCAAUUAAACCUCUUUCAUUUAUAAAUUACCCAGUCUCAGGUAUGUCUUUAUUAGCAGUGUGAGAAUGAACUAAUACCAUAAGAUAAGAGAGUACCUAUGAAGACAUAAAGAGACUCCUGAAGAGUACCCUAUGUCUAGGGGAGAGUACUCAAGGAAAAGCAAAACUGGAAGGGGUGGGCUCUUCCCCAAGGCUGCGAUUCCAACAUUAUUGGAGCAGGCAAGCAUGUGGCCUACUAGAUAGCAGUUAAGUUCACUGGGCUGUCCAGCCAGAGCCGGUCCACAGCCUCCAGGCCAGCAGGAAAGAAACCAAUGAGUGCAGGUGCGUUAAGUCUGGGAGGUGAGGCCUCAUGUGUGCAAUGGGUGGAGGGUCUGGUGUGCAAUGCUCAUGUUGUGUGGGCCCAGGGAAACAACAUCCUGGGGUGCAGGCCAGCUGAUGCUGGAAAGCAGUGCCCAGGAAGAGUUGAGACUCCACUGCAGAUGUUAAUCCACAUCCCAAGGACUGAGGUGAGGUUCACUGGGCCGAGUCUGGGGCUCUGAGGUCACUGAGGGACUGUACAUUCUGGGUAUAUGGCUGGGGCAGAGCACCACUGGGUAACUCACACACGCACUGUUGACAGACCAUGCAGCUGGAGCAACAAAAAACAAAGGUCAGUACCCUGGAACCAGGAAGAAAAGCCCCCCUUCUCCUACAGUGUCCCUCCAGCGCCCUCUACCGACAAAGCUUCACAUCGAUCUCACUGUAAAGGGGAAAUGCUUGAAGAGUCCAUUCCAUUACCCCAGAGCAGUUACUGAAGGGUGGAUGUGGGGCUGAGAGGCAAUAAAUUAAUAACUGGCAUAAUGAUCAGUGGCUAGGUUCAUUAUUCAUUAGGGGUUGCAAAAUGGUGAUAAUCUAAUUCUAUCCAUCUUCCUACAUUAGGUUGGAAGGCUUCUAGUGGGAGAAACUUCCCACAUCCCCUCUUUGGUGAGGCCCCAAGGCAAAAUGUGCACAAAAACCUGGCUCCCACCCCACUGCCACCACUUUCCCUCUUCUUACCUAGUGUAGAUCCUUAGGGUCUUAGUAAUUUUUAAAUUCACCUUAUCUUUAAUUCCAGGUCUGAUCUGAACUCUACUUCUGGCCUCUUGGCAUCUCCUUUUCGCUCUGGUCCAAUGCCUAACUUCAGGUCGAAACUAUUUUCUUACCACCUCCUGAAUCUUGACUCUGCCCAUAAAUUCCCUGAAGAGAAUGUAUGGGAAGUGGCACUUCUCAUUUACAUCUCCUGUAAUCCUCGCAAACACCUUAUGAGAUGGGUGUUAUUGUCUGGGUUUUACAGAUGGGGAACCCAACUAAGGCUUAGAGAGGUGAAGCAAGGAAUGAAGAGCUGGGGUUAGAGCCUGAGGCUGCUCACCUCUGAAUUGUGAGAGUUGGAGGCCCAGAAGGACAUGCUGCCUUCCGCAGAUUCCUCUUCAGAUUACUGGGACAGACACCUAAAUCCUCUCUAGUUCUGAAGAUACUGUUUUUACCUCCUCCAUCAUCCACUCUCCUGCACUCUCCCUACACAGAGAAGGGAAUGAGAAUAGAGGUGAGAACUUCUCUUCCCAGAGAAAACCAUGACCCAGCUAUGAGGUCUCUAUCAUUCCAGCUAUGUAGAGACAGCUAAAAAUCAUGGUGAAACCUCCGCUGUCCUUUCUUUCUUCUCCAGUUCAUCCUUCCUCAUUCAACAACUCACCUGCUACUUUUCCUUUUCUCUCGAGUCAUCCCCUCCACCCUACAGUUAUAGCUCCCAACUCCUGAUCAUCCUGAGCCCCUUCCCCUCCAUUCCUUCCUCUUGGUCCGUAGCCCCUCUCUUCCUCUUUCCUUCCUCUUACCCAAGCUUCACUGGCAAAAUCAAACAACAUAACAAAAGAAUGGGGAAUAAGCAAACAGCUGCCUACCCUUGCUUGGAAGUCCCUGGGAAGCAGCUUCCUUCACCUCCAUUGAUUCUGAGUCUCUGCGCUUCGGAGUGUUUGGCCCUCGUUCAAGGCUACGGUGGCCAUGGACUCAUUGUGUUGAGAUGAAGCAUCCUUCCUCAAAGGGACCUGACCUCCCCUUCAAUCAAUGAGUCCUGGAUCUUAGAGCUGACUCACAUGCAGAAACUGGGUGAGGGAUUGUGAUUUUUAUUAUAGCAGCUGACACCAGCCUUCUGCCCACUUGCUCUUGAUCUUUUCAGUGACAUAAGUCAAGCCAGGCCCUCACUGGCUGCCCGUGAUCUCACCUGCAGACACACCAUGGUCUAUCAGCCACCCCGAGGGGUCCCCGCAGGUCAAGGCUCAGGGUUGUCUUUCUGCUGUGCUUCUCAUUACGACAAUUACUUCCACCUUGCCUCUGAUGGUUCAGUGCCUCCACCUGGACUUUGGUAUUCCAGCGUGGUAUCAUUCCCAUUGACUAUGAAGCCCAAUUCUAAGGCAGCAUCUCCUGCAAAAGAACCACUGCAGAAGUUCUCAGGGACACUGAUGCCUCCCUAACUAGUGGACGCCUCAUUACUGUAGUAAAGGGAGAAUUCUCUUUGCUUUUUACCAGGAUAUUAAUCCUCAGUCACUAAGCUCUUCCUUAUCCAGCCUUAUUUUCUGUCCCUGCCAACCCUGACUCAACACUGUCAAGAUCCAUUCCCAUUCAUGUUCUCCCAGUCCCUGCCAGUAUUUAUUACCCAGGUCCUGUGGCUUUCCUCCCUUGCAGGGAUGCUGCUUCGCUGCCUGAACCUUACUGAGACUUGACCAUAAUUGAUCUACAGCAAAGGGGAGAGGCAGGAGCAGAUCUUCAGGACAGCAAACAUUGUCUGGGAAGGUACCUGACUCAGGGGAGGUCUUUGUCUAAUCAUCUCCUCUAGCAAUUAAGAGGGGCUAACUUCUGCCAGUCCAGUGGUUCCUGGGAAUCUGGGGGUUCAUGUUCUCAGGAACAUCACCCCAGGCUCCCCAUCUUGGGUAUCAGGGCCCUAUAUCUUUCUUAUCAGGGACCUCACUUCCCAUAGGAGAUACACCAGGGCUGUGAAUUCAACUUCCUUUGUUACUAGAACACUCUGAAAAAGAGGGCCUGAACCUGUUUUUUUUUCCUGAUCUGCCUUCCAGCUGCAGGAGAUGAAGGUUUUUAAAAUGCUUCCCUGGAAGCCUUCUGGCAUCCACACUAUGUUCUAAGUUGAUGGUUGGCUGAUCUGAACCUGUCAUUUUCUUCUUUCGCGGUUCCAAUUACAGCUAAAGACAACUAACCAUCUCUACAGACUUUUGCUACCAUAUUGCUCAAGUGCCAGAGCUAUUGCAUAAGCUGAUGUGUCUCCUUCCAGAGGACUCCAUCUUAGUUCACUGCAUAUGAGGAUCUUACAGAACUCAACCGCAAAAUGAGUAUGAUGAGAAUCUUACAGAAUCUUUCAAAACUCCACUCAACACCAGCUAUGGGGUCUUGUGACCAUUGGGCUGAUAAAUGAUCCAAUUCCACAAUCCCAUCCCGAGGGUCUGCUUCCCAGGAGCACUUCUAGCCCCAGCUGUCUGAGACUGGGUUAUCAUCUCCAAUUAGAUCACAAUGCAAGGAUUUGAAUGCAAGUAGUUUAUUUGCAAGGGGACCCAGGAAGCAUUAGUAGAGACAGAGAAGGUAGGAAGCCAAUAAACAGCAUGUUUUCAGGCAAGUGGGGCACCCGGGCUUAGACCCACUGGGGAACUGGGCAGCCUUCCUCAGAGUCAAUCACUGCCCUGAGGGAUGAGGAAGUUGGUGUAUUUAUCCAGCUGCACCUCAUCUGUCAUUGCUUAAGGGCUGCUCAUGGGGGCAUUAAUUUGCUGGAAGCCCAAAACAGCCCUCAGCAGAGAAAAAUUAUGUGUUCACGUAAGGAACCAUUGGUAUUCAGAGGUGAGUGCCAAGGAGAUAUGGACCUGGCAUUGUCAGCCUCCACUAUGAUCUUGUACCAUACAAGAUACAAGGAUAAUCUUGUAUCAUCCUUAGAGUGAGCUAAGGAUCAUCUUCCCUGAACCCCCUCCCCCCUCCGAGUGGUAGUAGCUGUGAAAAAAAAAAAAACAACCAGAGCACACCCAGCCCAAAUGGGGACAGCGCUUGGAAAAUCUCUUAGGGAAAGAGAGACAGGGUAGAGGCCGUGCGAUCUUGGUGCUGGAGCUGUUAGGCAAGCGCAAUGUUCAGGAAGCAGGGUUUCAGCUGGAGAGCUAGGAGACUCUCCUGCCCAGGAGGAGUGGCCUAUGGAGGGCUUAAUCCGCAAACUACCUUCUGUGGAUUAACACUGUGCUCUCCAGGUAACAACGCCUUAUCCCAGUUAAGAAGACUCCUCACCGAGUGACUCUUUGGGUGAGAACUGCAGUCACAUGCUGUAAGAGAGUCAUUUUGAGGUGGAGAAUUCUGCAGAAUUUCAGAAGCACUGGCUUAGUGUGUUGGUGAGUCAGCAUGAAAUUCGUUUUGUGAGUGGGCUGCUUCCAUGUUCAAUCAGCUGUAGCUUCAUACCUCUCAUUUGUUUAUAAACCCCUACUGUGUAAAUAUUACCCCAGAAUUUAGCAUCUCAAAAUUAGCAGAUAUUUACCAUCUCAUAGUUUCUAUGGGUCAGGAAUCAAGUGUGACCCAGCUGGGUGUCUCUGGCUUAAGAACUCUCAAGAGAUUGCAGUCAAGCUGUGGUCAGUGGGGCUGCUGUCUCAUCUGAAGACUUGAUUGGGGGAGGACUGUCUUCUAGGCUCACUCCUGUGGCUGUUGGUAGGAUUUAGUUCCUUGUGGGCUGUUGGACUGGGGACCUCAGGCCCUGGCUGGCUUUGGCCGGAGCCUUCCCUUAGUCUCUUCCCACAGGAGUCUUUCCAUAGGGCAGCUUAUCACAUGGCAGCUGGCUUCCCUCAGAGUGAGCAAGUAAGAGAGAAGAAAAAGUCCCCAAGGUGAAAGCUGCUACAUGUGUAACUUAAUCUUUUGUGUGAUAUCUCAUUACUUCUCUCACACUCCGUUUCUUACAAACAGGCUGGUAAGUUCAGACCAUAUUCAAAGGGAGGAGAUUCCCCAAGGGCAUGAAUGUAAGAAGGCGACGGUCACUGCUAGCCAUCACAGAAGCCACCUCCCCACCUCCCCAAACACCUGCACUUGUUCCCUUUCUCUGAGGCUGUAUCUGGAUCCUGAGCUGGUUUCCCCAUCCCUCUAGGAGAGGAUCAUUGCUUGAUUCUUGCUAGCAUCUCCUUCAUAUUUGCUCAGUCACUCCUCCAUUAAACACGUCUACAUUGAGGCCUACUAUGCCAGAUUCCAUGCUGGGCACUGGGAAAUCAGCAGAAAACAGGCACCAUCUGUAUGCACAGAGGUUCUUUCCUUCUGCCCUCUUUCCUGGAACCCUGUGGCUACUGUAAUCCUCCUAGAGGACAGCUAGUGCCUGGGUAACCCACAGGAUUGCCAGGGCAGAAACACUGUGCCUCUGUCUGUGGCCUCCCUCCUGUGGCCUCUUGCUGGGCCUCCUCCCAAUACUGCCUCCCUCAUGGGCAUGUGCUUCCCCACCAGCCUGACCACCACCCUCUCUUCAGCAGUGAAACCCUGUUUCUCCAUCCUGAGAGUCUCCAGUUUAGCACAUCCCACUGUCUUCUAAGUGACGGACCCGUUCCUCACGGGGUAAUGACUUGUGUAGUGAACCGGAGACAGUACAGGAAUCAUUCUCAUUAUUAUUAUUCUACACACCUGUCCAGGCAGCUACAAAAUUAGUCACAUUACCACAGCGUCAUCCCCAUGGGGCUGCAUAAAUGGGAACAUCAAUAUAAGGGUUAUAUCGAUAUAAGGGUUAUGCUUGUUUUCUUUAACUUAAUCUUCACGUCGAAGCUCUUUUACUAAAAGGACAUCUGAUUUCAUUAUAGAAACCUAAGCUUUUUCUCAUCAACACUGGUUCUUUUCUUUAAAAGCUCCUGUUUUACUGCCAUCAGAGAAAAGGCUGUUAGGUGUGACCAGGAUGGUCGGGAGCCAGUCUGCUGUCUCCAGCUCCCUCACACUGCCUGGCUGUAGCCCAUUUUCAUUCUCUGUGAUGGCAGAGACACCCCUUUCACCACAGGGUGCUGCAGGCUGGAGGAUCUGGGCCAAGAUUUCAUUUUCAGUCUCAGCGGGGUAGCCUGUCUAUAAUGCCACAUGGUAAAUUGCACAACAGCUGUUUGGAAAAGACUGCUCAAAAGCCAGUGACUAUGUUGAUGUUGGAGUCCGUCCUUGAGUUUUGGUGGGAUUUAAGGAAAUAAGAGGUCCCUGGAAAGGCUUGUUGAGGCCUGCCCCAAGCCCCUCCCACAUCCCUGAGUGUUGGCAGAGAUCACACAGGCAGCUAAACUUAGCUCAACGCCACGCCACUGUCAGCCCUGCUUCCCCUCCACAAGGCAGGUGUUGCAUGGAUCUCACUAAACUUGCCCUCUCUCUGUCACUGCUAUUCCGGUGUGUCCCUAACUGCUGAGAAUUAGGGUCAGGCCUCCUGGCUCCCCCUUUUUUUGUGGUACAAAUAAGUGUUUGUGUUCUCCUCUUAGCCUCCUAUCUGUAGCCUGAUGAAUAGACAAUGAAGGAAGAAUGCUUAUUGCUGACCACAAGCCAGAGAGGAGGGGGAGUGUGAGAGAUGGCCUGGGGCUAAGUGAGAUUGUGACUCAUUAAAAUAGAGGUCUGCAGCUCUCUCCUUAGUAUGGGGGCACCAGGAAGCCUUUCUCCCCUGAUCUGGCUACAGCUGCCUGCCCCUUUCUGAUAUUCACCCCCUCAUCCUUUCCUGAUUUUUUUCUCACCCAACCCUCCCAUCCUCCCUCCUUUCCCCCUCCCAUCUCCCACUCCCCGUGUCACUGUCAUUUCACCUAUAAGCUGUCUCUUCCUUGCAGGCUUUGCCUCCUCACCUGUGUAGGUUGUCUGAGAGGAAACAUCCUCUCCUAGUGCAGGUCCUCUUCCCUUCCUUCUCCCACACCACAUGCUCCUCCUUCCUUGAAUUCCUGCCACUCUGCUGCAGCUGUGGUUGGGGAUGAAGGUCAGUGGCCUCCAUGCCUGUGGUGGGUAGGUUAACAGAGCUUCUGUGGAUAAGAGUAAUGAGCAUCCACAAGCAGAAUGUGGGUUUUUCUUCAAUGGAAGAGGGUACCUGGAUUUAGGGCAGGGGUAGGUGAGUGUUAGAUGCCUUUCCGUUCCCUCCUCAUCUACCACCAUCUUCUGCAUCCAGCCUCCUGGCUCCUACAAAAGGACUGUUGGUCUCCACCUGGAUCUUUAAGACUUCCUGACAGGUGUGUGGUUGGGGAUUGGAAAUUACCAGUCAAGAAACCCCCAGGAUUUGGAACUCCUGCAUUUCAACAACAAAAAGAUAAACAACCCAAUCAAAAAAUGAGAAAAGGACUUGAGUAGACAUUUCUCCAAAGAAGAUAUACAAAUGGCGAUUAAGCACAUGAAAAGAUGCUCAACAUCAUUAGUCAUUAAGAAAUUGUCGGCCGGGUGCAGUGGCUCAUGCUUGUAAUCCCAGCAUUUUGGGAGGCCAAGGUGGGUGGAUCACUUGAGGUCGGGAGUUCGAGACCAGCCUGGCCAACGUGGGGAAACCCCGUCUCUACUAAGAAUACAAAAAAAUUAGCAGGACAUGGCAGCAUGCCCCUGUAAUCCCACCUAUUUGGGAGGCUGAGGCAGAAGAAUUGCUUGGACCUGGGAGGUGGAGGUUGCAGUGAGCCAAGAUCCAGCCAUUCAACUCUAGCCUGAGCAACAGAGGGAGACUCCAUCUCAAAAAAAAAAAACAAAAAAAAAAGGAAGAAAAUGUAAAUGGAAACUGCAAUGAGAUGGUGUUUCGUAUCCAUUAAGAUGGCUGUUAUCAGUAAGUCAAAGAAAAACAUGUUGUCAAGGAUGUGGAGAAAUCUGAACUCUUGUAAUUGCUGGUGGGAAUGUAAAGUGGUACAGCCACUGUGGGAAGCCAGGAGUUCAAGACCAGCCUGGCCAACAUGGCGAAACCCAAUCCCUACUAAAUAUACAAAAAAAAUUAGCGAGGCAUGUGGUGUAUGCCUUUAAUCCCAGCUACUUGGGAAGCUGAGGCACGAGAAUGGCUUGAACCUGGGAAGCAGAGGUUGCAGUGAGUUGGGAUCGUGCCAGCCUGGGCGACAGAGGGAGACUGUCAUUAAAAAAAAAAAAAAAAGAAAGAAAGAAAGAAAGAAAAAUAAUUUUUAUAUAACCCAGCAAUUCCAUGUCUAGGUAUAUACACCAAAGAAUUGAAAAUAGAAACCCAAACAGGCAGGGCACAGUGGCUCAUGCCUGUAAUUCCAACACUUUGGAAGGCCGAGGCAGGAGCAUUUCUUGAGCCCAGGAGUUUGCGACCAGCCUGGUCAGCAUAACAAGACCUCAUCUCUACAAAAAAACUAAAAAACAAAAAAUUAGCACAGCGUGGUGUUGUGCACCUGAAGACCUAGCUACUCGGAAGACUGAGGUAGCAGAAUUGCUUAAGAGUCCAGGAGGUUGAGGCUGCAGUGAGAUAUGAUAGGGCCACUACACUCCAGCCCCGGUGACAGAGCAAGACCCUGUCUUGCAACAAAGCAAGCAAGCAAGCAAGCAAGCAAGCAAGAAAAAGAAAAAAAAGAAAAGAAAGACAGACUCAAACAGAUACUUGUGUGCCAACGUUCAUUGCAGCAUUAUUUGCAAUAGCCAAAAAGUGGAAGGAAACAACCUGUGUCCAUCAACAGAUAAAUGGAUAAACAAAAUGUGAUAUACCAUACAAUGGAAUAUUAUUCAGCCAUAAAACAAAUAAAGUUCUGAUAGAUGCUACCAUAUGAGUAAACUUUGAAGACAUUAUACUAGUGAAAUAAGUUAGCCACAAAAGGACAAAUAUUAUAUGAUUCUACUUAUAUGAAAUACCUAGAACAGGCAAAUUCAUAGAGACAGAAAGUAGAUUAGUGGUUCCCAGGGGUUGAAGAAGGUAGGAAUGGAUAAUUACUGCUUAAUGGCUACAGCAUUUCUGCUUGUGUUGAUGAAACAUUUUUUGGAAAUGGAUAGUGGUAAUGAUUGCACAACACUGUGAAUGUAAUUAACACCACCGAAUAGACACUUAAAAUGGUUAAAAUGGCCAAAAUUCAAGUUGUGUAUAUUUGACUAUCAUUUUAAAAAUUGAAACAUAAAGAAUACCAAGAAAGAAAGCUCCAAAAGGAAGACAUA
rnacentral:lncRNA from 1 species